rnacentral:lncRNA from 1 species
GGGAAGUAAAGCACCAGAGGAAGCAUGUGUAAAUCCUUGUAUAAUCGCAGGCUUUUGUAAAUAGAAGACUUGUUGAUGAUCCGAUGGCAAGGUAUUUUUCUCUUGGUAUGUAUUUUAGUUAUUUCCUCGUGAUGCAUAAGUGAAAAGAGUGAAGUUUCUCAGAAUGAGCAACUGUCAUCCAUCUACCUGCUAUUUUAUUAUUGCUGAUUACAAAAGCAAAUCAAGAGAUGAGAACCCAGUUGCCUGCAAGUAAAUAUUUACUGCAUUGAGGGUCGGAGCAUUUUCCCAUUACCGGUUAUCCAUGGAUCAAAUAGUGUAUCUCAGUGGUAAUUCUAGAGGGCCAUUAAAACCCUGAUGGUGCUGGAAGAGAUGGCAGUGCUGCAUGUCAGAAAUAGGUAAACUGUAAUUAAGAAGUUACAGAUGAUUUGAUUACGCUCUUGUGUAUUUGGUCCUGUUAUAAUGUGAGCAGAUUAAAAUCAUGUAGUGCUUAAAGCUAUGUCAUUAUGCAAACAUUUAUGGCAACUUCUGCAAAUUAAUUUGAACUGUAAAAGUUCCCUAAUGAGACGAUGUCCUCCAUAACUGAGAAGGACACUGCAGCCAUUGCUGCUUAAUUCCUGCAUUUGAAUGGUUGCCGAGCGCAUGGUGUGCCCUUUCUCAAAGAGCAGAGAGGCUGCAGAGCAUUUUGGGGGGUGAUGACUGAAUGAAAGUGAAAAGACCAUUUCAAAAUAGCCUUUAAAAGGAAAGCCAAGGAUGAUUAUUAAUGAAUUCCUGGGAUCUAACAGUAGUAAGAAAUUUAAACUAUAUAAACAUAUAUGUUAAAGGCUAGCUCUUCAGAAAUAAAGAUCAGAAGACUGCA